CCAAAGCUGGAGCACAGACCUCUUCAUGCCGUUGCCCACGUCUAGCUGCCCAAGCGUGUUCGCUGCCAAAGCUGCCAAUCUAGACAAGACCACAAAACAAACACAGCAUGUUUGCGAUGCAAUGGGCCCGUCGGCCUACAGCAUCAAACUGUCUUGUGUCCCAACUGCAUGUCUUCUAUGUAUGUGGUAGAUGUGGCCGUUGCACUUGUCGUGGUCGGGGGGCCAUUUAUUUAUUGUAUAUAUCCGAAAGAUUUUGACCUCUAUGGGUCUGCCACCUUUUCUGGCAGUCACAUAUUGUGAAUUGUUGUUUUAGGAAGGAUUCCCUCAAUUGUGUGUGUAUAUAGCUUAUUUUGUAUUUUUUUUAAAUAUUUUUU